rnacentral:rRNA from 1 species
CCUACGGGAGGCAGCAGUGGGGAAUAUUGGACAAUGGGCGAAAGCCUGAUCCAGCAACGCCGCGUGAGGGAUGACGGCCUUCGGGUUGUAAACCUCUUUCAACAGGGACGAAGCGAAAGUGACGGUACCUGCAGAAGAAGGACCGGCCAACUACGUGCCAGCAGCCGCGGUAAUACGUAGGGUCCGAGCGUUGUCCGGAAUUAUUGGGCGUAAAGGGCUCGUAGGCGGUUUGUCGCGUCGGGAGUGAAAACUCAGGGCUCAACCCUGAGCGUGCUUCCGAUACGGGCAGACUAGAGGUAUUCAGGGGAGAACGGAAUUCCUGGUGUAGCGGUGGAAUGCGCAGAUAUCAGGAGGAACACCGGUGGCGAAGGCGGUUCUCUGGGAAUUACCUGACGCUGAGGAGCGAAAGCAUGGGGAGCGAACAGGAUUAGAUACCCUGGUAGUCCAUGCCGUAAACGUUGGGCGCUAGGUGUGGGGACCUUCCACGGUUUCCGUGCCGCAGCUACGCAUAGCGCCCGCCGUCGGGAGGUACGGCCGGCGACGGACGUAAACCGUACAAGUAGAAGUUAGACGGACGUGAGAACGUGCCGACGGACGACGACGAGGGGAGGUUAGG